rnacentral:rRNA from 1 species
GACGAACCGUGCGAACGUUAUUCGGAAUCACUGGGCUUAAAGGGCGCGUAGACGGGCGACCGCGUCGAUGGCUGAAAGCCCCCGGCUCAACCGGGGAACGGGCCUCGAUACGGGUCGUCUCGAGUGGAGGAGGGGGACCUGGAACUGCCGGUGGAGCGGUGAAAUGCGUUGAGAUCGGCAGGAACGCCUGUGGCGAAAGCGAGGUCCUGGACUCCGACUGACGUUGAGGCGCGAAAGCGUGGGGAGCGAACAGG